rnacentral:rRNA from 1 species
GGUAGCGUAAUCACUUGUCUAUAAAUUGUAGACCCGUAUGAAGGGCACAAUGAGGGUCUAACUGUCUCUUUUAGUAAAUCAAUUAAACUGAUCCCCUAGUCCAAAAGCUAGGAUAUUAACAUAAGACCAGAAGACCCUGUGAAGCUUUAACUAAACUAUUAAACCAUAUAAUAGCUCCUUUAGGUUGGGGCGACCUUGGAAAAAAAAAGAACUUCCAAACAUAUAACACAUAAACCCAUGGCCAACAAGCCUACUAACGACCCAGCAAAGCUAAUAAUUGAACCAAGUUACUCCGGGGAUAACAGCGCUUUCUUCUUCAAGAGCCCAUAUAAAAAAGAAGGUUUACGACCUCGAUGUUGGAUCAGGACAUCCAAAUGGUGCAGCCGCUUUUAAGGGUUCGUUUGUUCAACGAUUAA